rnacentral:rRNA from 1 species
UACGUAGGGUGCGAGCGUUAAUCGGAAUUACUGGGCGUAAAGCGUGCGCAGGCGGUUUUAUAAGUCAGAUGUGAAAGCCCCGGGCUCAACCUGGGAAUGGCAUUUGGGACUGUAAGGCUGGAGUAUGGCAGAGGAGACUAGAAUUCCUGGUGUAGCAGUGAAAUGCGUAGAUAUCAGGAGGAAUACCGAUGGCGAAGGCAGGUCUCUGGGCCGAUACUGACGCUCAUGCACGAAAGCGUGGGGAGCAAACAGG